rnacentral:rRNA from 1 species
UAACAGAUCUAGCUUGCUAGAUGCUGACGAGCGGCGGNNNGGUGAGUAAUGCAUAGGAAUCUGCCCUGUAGUGGGGGAUAACCUGGGGAAACCCAGGCUAAUACCGCAUACGUCCUACGGGAGAAAGGGGGCUUCGGCUCCCGCUACGGGAUGAGCCUAUGUCGGAUUAGCUAGUUGGUGAGGUAACGGCUCACCAAGGCGACGAUCCGUAGCUGGUCUGAGAGGAUGAUCAGCCACAUCGGGACUGAGACACGGCCCGAACUCCUACGGGAGGCAGCAGUGGGGAAUAUUGGACAAUGGGGGGAACCCUGAUCCAGCCAUGCCGCGUGUGUGAAGAAGGCCUUCGGGUUGUAAAGCACUUUCAGCGAGGAAGAACGCCUAGUGGUUAAUACCCAUUAGGAAAGACAUCACUCGCAGAAGAAGCACCGGCUAACUCCGUGCCAGCAGCCGCGGUAAUACGGAGGGUGCAAGCGUUAAUCGGAAUUACUGGGCGUAAAGCGCGCGUAGGUGGCUUGAUAAGCCGGUUGUGAAAGCCCCGGGCUCAACCUGGGAACGGCAUCCGGAACUGUCAGGCUAGAGUGCAGGAGAGGAAGGUAGAAUUCCCGGUGUAGCGGUGAAAUGCGUAGAGAUCGGGAGGAAUACCAGUGGCGAAGGCGGCCUUCUGGACUGACACUGACACUGAGGUGCGAAAGCGUGGGUAGCAAACAGGAUUAGAUACCCUGGUAGUCCACGCCGUAAACGAUGUCGACCAGCCGUUGGGUGCCUAGAGCACUUUGUGGCGAAGUUAACGCGAUAAGUCGACCGCCUGGGGAGUACGGCCGCAAGGUUAAAACUCAAAUGAAUUGACGGGGGCCCGCACAAGCGGUGGAGCAUGUGGUUUA